rnacentral:sRNA from 1 species
GGAGGCCCUCACUCAGGCCUACUCGGGUAUCCAGCAAUAUGCUGCUGCUGCGCUCCCCACUCUGUACAACCAGAAUCUUCUGACACAGCAGAGUAUUGGUGCUGCUGGAAGCCAGAAGGAAGGUCCAGAGGGAGCCAACCUGUUCAUCUACCACCUGCCCCAGGAGUUUGGUGAUCAGGACCUGCUGCAGAUGUUUAUGCCCUUUGGGAAUGUCGUGUCUGCCAAGGUUUUCAUAGACAAGCAGACAAACCUGAGCAAGUGUUUUGGUUUUGUAAGUUACGACAAUCCUGUUUCGGCCCAAGCUGCCAUCCAGUCCAUGAACGGCUUUCAGAUUGGCAUGAAGCGGCUUAAAGUGCAGCUCAAACGUUCGAAGAAUGACAGCAAGCCCUACUGAGCGUGCUCCCCUCUGAGACUGGAGUGAGAGGGUCUUCUGGCACAGCUUGCCCUGAAGACUCGGCUACUGCCUUCUGUGGGAGUUUCGCUUCGUACAGAGGACAAGUUUGUGCUUUGGUUUCCAGUGUUUUACUUUGGAGUUUAGGUAGCUGGUGGUGUUGGAUUAUCCCAUUGAAGCUGGGACAGCUGUUCCUUUCUCAUAGUGAUAACUUGGGUCUGUUGUCCUCUAAGGAACGUCAAACAUACACUUCUUAAGCUGAACCACGUAAACUUGAAAUUCUGCGCACUGGGAGAAAUGUGUCCUGUGUUUCAAAGGAUAAAACUGUUCUAAAGGCUUCCAGGGUCAUGAUGGGAUUUUUUAAAUAAAUGCAAAAAAUAAAAAUAAAAAAGAAAAAAGAAAACAAAAA